GAAAACUUCUUUUUGUUUAAAUCUAGAAUAGCAAUAUAUCUAUCAUAUAGAAUAUAGAUAGAUCUAGACUCUAAUAUAGAUCUAUAUCUAGACUCUAGGCCUUCUACUAAGUUCUCUAGAAUCUAGAGUCUCUAGAUCUAGAUUCUAGUCAUUCUAGAUCUAGAUCUCUAGCUAGUACUAGAUCUAUUAAUAUUAAUUACUAAUAAAUAGUAGGCCUAAGUAAUAGUACUAGAUCUAGGUUAAACUAGGUAGUAGACUAGUAGUAGUACUAGUAGAAGUAGUAGGCAUAACUUUAUAUAGUAAUAGAUCUAGUACUAAUACUGUUACUUUACUAUUAGUAUUACUAGAUCUAUAGUAUAGUAAAAUACUAAAAUUAGUAAAACAAUAGUAAUUAAGUAAUACUAACUUUACUACUUAUAGUUAAGUUUGUGUAGUAAUAGUCUAGUUACAAGUCUAUUAAUAGUAAAUAUUUAGGCCUAUACGGUGAUACCCUUUAGAAAAUAUAUAUAUACUAAUAUUAUAUAGAACUAUUAUGCUGAUUGCCUCCGAUACUAUUUAACUAUUAAGUGAUAAGUCUAUAAUUAGUAUUAUCAUUUAUGAUUUUUAUUUGUGAUAUACUAUGUUACAUGUACAUCAGCUAGUACUAUAAUGUACACUACUUAAAUUAUAACCUAAUUCUUGAAAAAGUCAUAUAGAUUAGAUCUAGAGUCUAGAGCUAAUACAGACUAAAACUUUGACUUACUUAGAUUUACACUUAGGUCCUCCCGCACCAUUCGGCAUAUUGGGCAGCAAGCUGUCUCCAUAAAGAUCUGUCGUUGGCAAUGUCUGAAGCCUCCUCCCACCUGGUGUCCACUGUUCUGAGGUCCUAUACGAAGGUGUGGCGCCAAGUAAUAUGAUGAUGUCCCUGUUUGCGCUUUCCUCGUAUUGGCCUCCAUGUCAUCGCAACUCUUGGUAUACGUAGUUCAUUUUGUCAUAGAACAUAUCCCGCAAACCUCAUGCAAUGCUCUGUCACAACCUCACUAAGUGUUCGACUCCCAGUUCGGCAAAGGAUUUCCUUGUUUGAGACCCGAUCUGUGUAACUGACUCCCAAAAUUCGUGUCAGCCAUUUUUGUUGAGCCACAUUUAGCCUUUUCUCAAUUUUGACAGAUGAUUUCUAUGUCUCACAUGCAUAUGUUGCAGUUGGGAUGACAAUUGUGUUAAGGUGUAUUUUUGUCUCGCACCCAAUGGCUUGGCUUGGCCAAAUAGGCUGCAGCCUUUAGAAAAUGCUCCCUGCCUUUCCUAUUCGGCUCGCUACCUCAUGGUAGGCAUCCCCAUCAUUUGUUAUUAUGCUGCCAAGGUAAGUGAACUUGUCCAGCUCUUCAAACUUUGACUCGCCAAGUCUGACGGGGGCCCCUUUGCCUUUUAUCCCACUCGCAAAAUUUUGGUCUUAUCUAAGUUUAUGCGGAGGCCAAUUUUGGGUGCUUCUCUAUCUAGGCUCUCUGUCAUUUCUUGUAUGCCUUUAUUUGUAGCCCCGAGUAGUGCAAUGUCAUCAGCAAAGUCCAAGUCCAUUAUUCGAUUUUGUUCACGCCAUGGAAUACCAAAGGCAGUCUGUCUCAUUGCUCUCCUCAUUAUGUAAUCAAUGGCUAGGAGGAAAAGGAAGGGAGAUAAGAUGCACCCCCUGUCUCACACCUGCUGAAAAACUUGGUUGUUCCUUCUUCUGUUUUAAUGCAGCAACUAGACUGACUGUGUAGGUGUCGUAGGAUCUGGAUGAAUUUUUCUGGGAUGCCAUAUUCUCUAACUAUUUUCCAUAGUGAUUCUUUGAAGGGUGAAAAAAUCUCUAGCUUUCAUUCCCCUCUAAAGAAGCUGAUUGUCUGUAUGCUUGAACUUUCAAGUAAAGAAUAGGCUAAAAAGCAUCUUGAAACAAGAAUACUUUCAUCAUAUUGAAGACUGUUGGUAAAGAUGUUCUACUAGAAAUUAAUUUGAUCACAAUCAUAAAUAAUCUGUCAGCAAGUAGAUUGCUGAUCUUCAUAUAUUUUGAAUAUAGAUAAGUUAUUGUAUACAGUAGAACAGGGGUGGGCAACCUUUUUGUAUUGAGGGCCGCAUUUAAAAAAAUGUUAAAAAUUGGGGGUUAUAUAUUUUUAUAUAUAUAUAUAUAUAUAUAUAUAUUAGGGGUGCACCAGAUAGUCGCUCCGGCUUCUGCCGAAUAUCACCUAUUUAAUAUGCAUAAAGUGGACCUCGUUCCAUUAAUGUCUGUUGUAGAAUGUUUUAAUGUUUAUAAUGUGCUUAAAAAUAGAGCCAUUAUGAAUAUGCACCAAACAUCGUUUAUUAUAAAGACAAGGCGUGUUAAUAACUUAAUAUAAAUAGAAAUGAAACUUUACAUCAUAAAUGCGCUUUACAUACAGAGCAGCAAUGGCUGGCACUUUUUUCAAUUUGUCUUGACCUUUGAGUAGCUUAGUUAACAUGUUAAAAUGCUACAUUCCUUGACUACGUCAUGCUGACCAGACGUCUGUCUAGCUGUGCAGGUAUAUCUCCAGAGGUAGAGAUGAACAACUCCCACCCCUUUUAUUUGUUUAGUCCAUCACAUUGAGGUUUUUUUAUAGGUAGGUGACCACAAGUUAAAUACGAUGGACGUAGGUUUAAUGUCAGCGUAUUGACACUCUCUAGAGGUCACACCUUUCGAGGGAACUAAGUUUGUUUACUUAGUAGUUAAUCUUUAUUAAGGGGGCUGGACUACAAGAGCCACACCUCUAAGGUAACUAGGUAUAUUUCCAGAUGAACAACUCCCUCCCCCUUUUAUUUGUUUAGUCCAUCACAUUGAGUUCAUUGAUUACGAUGGACGUAAGCACUCUCUAGAGGUCACACGAGGGAACUAUGUUUUUUAAUUAGUAGUUAAUCUUAAUUGGGGGGGGGUGGACUGGACUUCAAGCCAAACAUCUACACGGGUAUCCGGACAAAGAGUUUGCUUAUUUGGAGAAAAAUCUUAAUCACGUGUUUGGGCUAGAGGCCACACCUUUUCAAGUGUGCCGAGUCACUUGAACAUAAAUCUCAAUUAGUAAGCUGGACUAAAGAUCAAAUGCAUCUAAACGAGUGACCUUUAGCUACACAGAACUCAAACCGCGAGAUUAUAUAGUCCAGUUAGCCAGUUACUAAUUAUUUUGUAGAAGACACGACCAGGGCUAUCUUUAAAUGGAGAGCUAAACACCCCCUACUCUUUAUUUUAUUUCUUUGGUCUUUGACACCCAAUUUAUUGAUAGACAUUUACCAUUUAUAAGCCAGAAUGAAAAAAACACAACGUGCUAACAAAGGAUAUUACACUGUCAAUAAAUAUUACGGUUAAAUAAUUUUUUUCUAACGUGUUAACUUGAAUAUUACUCCUGCAGUUAAGUGUCUUGAUUUGAUAACAAUAUUCUUAAUAAUUAGUGACACUCAAUUAACUCCUUGUUAUUACUAAUUUUUUUUUACUUAAGAUGCGUACUUAGCCAGUGUGUAUCAGGCCAGGACGACUUUUACACACCUGACAUCCAUAGGCUUACUAUCGUUCCCUAUUGUAACAGUUACUGAAACCACGAAUAAAAUAAUUAAUAAGUAAUAAUUAAGGAAGAUGUUUCUGACAUACGUUCUAUACAUUUAAUGUUUCUUACGUACGUUCUUUGCACAAUAAAAUAAAUUGAAUAAUAGUACCGCAGUUAGAUCUAGCAAACAAAGAAACAAUAUGCUGGAGCGUAAAAAAAAAACAACAACCCUUGACCUCUAACUAGUGGACGGGUAUAAUUUAUCUAUACGUUUGACUGACCAUGCCAAUGUGUUAUUUUUUUAGACUGACACCCAACUCUAUUGCGUGCGUAUGCUCAAGGAAAAAAACAAUGCUUGAUGGUUAACACAAACAACUAUACACACUACACUAGGACUACAUGUGUAGGCUCAUUAGGUAUAUCUGACCAAGUUUGAUGGUCUGAAAUUCAUGAACACACACAUCCGACCACUAUACAAGGCAGACUGUACUUAACUUAUGAGAUUUACAUUACUAACUAGUUAAAUAUAUACUAACAUUCAUGCUAUACAGAUUUACUGUUAAGUUUGAAUAAAUCAAUCAGUAACAGAGUUUAAAACAAUAAGGUAUAUAAAAGGAAAAAAAAACAACCAAUAUAGGUAUGUUAUUUAACAGUUUCGUAAAAUGUUCAGCAAUACAAGAUAUUUACAAGACACUUAGGUAUCCGUCCCCGGCCGAAUAUCAAAUUUUACUAUCCGGUCGUAUCCGGCCCCGGUCGGAUAUCAAAAAGUACAAUCCGGUGCACCCCUAAUAUAUAUUUAUAUAUAUUGUUGUAACCCUGCCUUGCACCAGUGCUUGAGGUGCGCACUAGUGAACGUAAACAGAAAGACUCUAGAAUGGAGAGAAGAACAGUGCAUCAGGGAUUGUGAAGAGUCUGAAUGUUUGGGAAACUAAGAGGCCAACUUUUGUGCUACCUGAAGGUUGUAGUAGGGACCUGGGGCGUAGCGGGGAAGGCUGUCUUUGGUCCACAUUCGGGUUAAGUAGCAAAGGACUGGUAUACUUAGUAGUAAGACUCUGGGGAAGCUAAAGGAUGUUAUGUGUUUACCCUGGUGAAUAAACACCUGUAUUUAUUUUCUGUUAAACUGUGUUGAGUUACCUACCUUUACGUUGAGUGCCUACCGUAGAGUUGCAACAAUAUAUAUACUUACAACUUAGAAAAAUAUGCUAGCUAACUGCAGUAUGUCUUUUAAUUCAUAUUUAUACUGUAUGUUACAUUUACUUUAACUUUUUUCACAUUCCCAAUUGAGGAAUUACAACAAGAGUUUGCAAUUUCUGAAACCAAUUUUACUAUUUAAAAAUAAUAAUACAAUAAUUGCUAUAGUCUUUUUACAUCACAACAUUACAUCGUAAAUGUACAGCUGUACUUAAUGUGAAGUAUUUAACUGUUUACACUCGUGCCUAAUGUUCCUGAACCGUGGAACUAGCUUACUAGUUGUUAUACUUGUGACUGCUGUCAAAUUAGUCAUUCACCAUCAACCUGUGAUUACACUUGUUUAUUUUCCAAAAAAAAAUGCUUCUUUACAUAUGUAUGUGUACCCAAAUAAUGUUAAAGCUUAGCAGCAAAGUUUUUUAAAGUGUGGAAAUAAAACUUCUGGCACCCAUUAAGCUACCGCGGAAGUACUGACAUGAACUUCUCUUACAGGUCAUAAUUUACAUGAAGUUGUGUUCUCCGGAGCUGAAUUAGCUUCUGCUCUAAAUGGUGAGCUGAUGGUAUUGAAAACUGUUUUUUUGGCGUCAAUUCCAUAAGGAAUCCAAUAAGUCUGGUACUUUUAACCAUUUCACUAUAAAUAUUUUCACCUUUUAACAAAGGAAAAUGACAAAACCUUUUUUCACUUGUUGGCCUGGAGAAAUUGGAAAUUCUUCACUAGAAAUAUUAGUCACAAGGUCAUAGUCCAUGUGGCCCUCGGGCUGUAAUUUGCCCACCCCUGCAGUAGAAGGAACUUUUAGUUGCUCCAUUUUACUAAGCCUGUAAUGAAGUAUUCAGUUAAAAAUAAUAAAGGUUAUGAGUAUACUGUACAUUUUGUGAUACACAUUAAGAUUUUAUAUAGCCUCUUAACCUACAUACAUAUAGAAAUACUUAUCAAUACGGAAUUGCACUUUUGUUUUUAUACUCAAAUUUUUUAUUGCAUUAUAUAACUUUAUAUAUUGUGAGGUCAGGUACCAAUAGAUGCACAUCAUAUCAGAUGUUACUUGUGGACCAGUUCCUGGAUCAUAUGAUAAUGCUAGAGCUGAAUAUGACAUCUGUUCCACCCCUGAAGUCAAGCACUUUAUCACUAGGAAACCAUGCCCCCCUGACAAUUCAUUAGCUUAAGUGUCAAAGAAAACAGUCCAUGCUUUAGCCACAUUAGAGCAUCUUUUUGAUUGGCAAUGGUGCACUGGAAAGAUUUGUGCAGACUCCAUCCUGUGGUUCAGCUCAUGAACAGAAUGAUACACACAAAAUGUCAGGAGGCAGGAUUGGUGAAGUGGGAAAUUCUCCAACCUGACUUGAUAAUUACUGAUGCAUUAAUCUUCUAUAACUCCAGAUCAAGAAACAAAAAAAUGAAGAGGGUGCUCCAGAACUGUACAUGUCAUUGUGACAUUACCAUUAAGAUAAAUAUCUUUGUAUCAUAAAUAGACCUACAGUUCAGAAGCCAAGUGCUUAACUUCUCAGCCAGUAACCCAAAUGUUCAGUGUAAAAGCCAUACUGACAAGAUAGAGAACAAUUAUGGAUAAUGAAAUUCAUCAAUCAAUUGAACUGUAAUUUCCUGGAUAUUUGACAUGUUGGUUAUAAAUGUAUCAAUAGUAUUGUCUAAAGAUAUUCAAUUGAUAACAACCAAUCUUUUGUUUGUCACUUA